CCAGCCAAUCAGAGCGAGUGAGAUGUUUGUCUGUGUGAAAAUCAUGUGAUCGCCUCUGUCCGCGGGCGCAAUAUCUCUGCGAAUGAGGGUUAGCUGCUUUCGGAAGCAAACGGAAAAACUGCCACGGACCUGAGGCUGCGAUAGGCAGAGGUAAUUGCCACCAUCUUUAUUAGGGGCAGUGAUCUUCGGGACUCAUGCCGGAUCGCCAUAUUUAUAGGUGGCAACCUGCAGUGGAACGCAAGCGCAGCCUUUCUUGCUUGGGAGGGGAGAUUAAGACAAGAGAAAUGUUUGUUUUUGUUUUUGUUUUUCUGGACUUCUUUCCCAGACUGUGAGACACGGCGUGUAUUUCCUGGGAAGGACCUUUGACGCUGGCGGAGUACUGGCUUCCGGCAGUAUAAAUUGCUGCAAGUUAUCCGUUAGAUAUUUAAUGGAGGAGAAAUGCCGAAAACGUGUUCAGAACUGCAUGUUCAAAAACAAAGUUGCUGGAAAAGCUCAGUAGGUUUGGUAGCAUCUGUGAAAGGAAAAAAAAUAACGUUUCGGAUCCGCUAAUCCUUGCUUAGAACUUCAUGUUACCUGUUGCACUCUCACUGUAGGAAGUCCUGCUUUAAAUAUUAUGAUCUAUUAAAGCAUAUCCGUUUGCCCAGUAUUCAUAUGAUUGGGAUCAAAUCACUGAAAGUGCUCUGAGUCCCCUUGUGCUCCCUCGUCAAAUUUAUUAAUGUCUGACUUCCUCAGUCUGUAAUAAUGGGUGUAUUUUACCUCUGCAUCUUUCUGUGUGGGGGAGCAGGGUGCUUUUAAGAGGAGGAUUUAUACAUAACUAACAGAAACCAAGAGAAAUGUUUGCCUUUUCCAGACAAUCUUGUGUUUUCUGGAUUUCUGUCCAGGCCUGACCGUUAUUUGUCUCUUGUGGAUUUGCUUUACAGGAUAUUUAUUGAGAAUAAUUUGCAAACCAGGAUCCCAAUGCAAGUUCUCCAUUAAGCGGAGUGAUCAGGAUCUGAGUAUCAUUGACACUUAACAGUGAAAGGAAAGAGGUUUAACCAUUCUAUGCAUGGGAGAAUACUCCUGGACUCUUUUAUACCCCCCACAGGACCUUUUGUGAUCUAAUCCCGUAACAGUGUGAGCUGCUACAAUGCACGUGCUAGUAAAAGCAUAAGAGGACAGAUGAGAUGAGUGCAUGGCUGGAGCUAUAACUUAAAAGGUUUGGAUUCCUGAGGCAUUGAGACUGUUUGUUUGUUUCUGGGGAAGGUGGGACAUGCACAAGCUUGAACAAUUGUCCUGGGCAGAGCUGGGACAGAUAUUCUUGUUGAUGCUUUUGCUAGUUCCACUGGUGAGGAUUUAAACUCGUAUGACAGGGGAAUGGGAACCCAAGUAUAGCUUUAGCAGUAAAAGACUCAAAUCAGCAAAUGGGAUUUGAAAUUAGUUCAUGAUGUUGUCGGUGGCUGAAAGAUUAAAAGAAAGAAGGAUUAAUCAAGAUCAAAUCUCUUUUCAUACAUCAGUCCUGUGAUCCCAGGAAUUGGCCUGGUGAACCUUCUUUCCGAUCAUUCAGUAGCCAGGCCAUCCUUCCUCUGGAAAGGAGAACAAAGGUGCACACGACUCCAGGUGUGGUCUCACCAAGGCCCUUAUAGAAAGAUAUCCCUCUUCCUGUACUCGAAUCCUCUCACAAUGAAGGCCGAAAUAUCAUUUGCAUUCUUCACUACUUGCUGCUGCCUGUUUCCGAAAAGAGAAUAGGAGAGAAACACGGAACUAAAUGGGGUCAGACACUCGGGUAACAUUGUGUUCAACAAUGUCCCCAUUGUAUCGGUGCUGGCCACCAAGCACCUAUUGAAGCUAGGCCCGUUUUCUGGCACUCGGUGUGUAACGUGUAUUUUGGUGCAGUGGAUGAUCAUCUCAACACUUCUUCAAGAUUGCAAUGGUUCCUGCAUCUAUCACCAUUUCAGAUGCUGCCAGAUCUGCUGAGUAUCUCUAUCAUUUUCUGUUUUUAUUUCAGAUUUCAGGUAUUUUUCUGCAUCUUAGUCCUUCAGAAGGAUCAGAGGGUAUGGAGAGAAAACAGGAAUUGGAUUCAUUUUCAGAUGAAUAAAAUGCCUGCCCUUCAUGUCUGUCCAAACUCUAUCUCUUUUUGUAGUUUUGGGCAAACGCUGACUGUUUCCCUUCCCUGAAGGACAUUUAAUGAACCAGUUCAGUUUUACUGAUAAUCCAGCAGUGCCCCUCAGUGUUGCAUCCACAAUUGAUCAGAUUAAUUUCUGAGUUUGACAAUCUUUGUGUGUGUUCUUCUGGUUUCUCUCUCUCUCUCUACUUUUUUUUUCUUCAGUUUGAAAUUGUGAUUGCAUUCAGAGAAAUCAAACAAAACCACAUCCAGAUCUGACACUCAAUCUGUUUGUCGUAACCUAAUUAUCUCAGGAUUUUGAACAUUAAAGGAAGAAGCACUGUUCACACCAGGGAGAAAUGCGUAUUGUCUGUGUGUCGAAGAUUCUGUGAAGAUUCAUCUGAAAUGCCCAAACACCAGCACGGUCACACUGGGGAGAGACUGUGGAAAUGUGGGGAUUGUGGGAAGGGAUUUAUUUACCCAUCCCAGCUGGAAAUGCACCAACGCAGUCACACUGGGGAGAAACUGUUCAUUUGCUCUGAUUGUGGGCUGGGAUUCACUCAGUCAAGCAACCUGCUGAAACACCAACGAGUUCACAGUGGGGAGAGACUGUUCACAUGUUCCGAGUAUGGGAAGGGAUUUGCUCACUCAACCAACCUGCUGAGACACCAGCGAGUUCACUCUGGGGACAGACCAUUCACUUGUUCUAUGUGUGGAAAGGGAUUCACUCAAUCAUCCCAACUGUUAACACACCAGCAAGUUCACCACAACCACAUUUGAAGGAUUUUGCCCUUAAAUCAAGGAAUGAACUUUGAUCUUUGGGCUGUUUGUACUGGUGUCAUUAGUCCCUGCUCAAAACUUGAUCUUCUCUUGGGAAAUAAGGUAGGGCAGGUGACUGAGGGGUCAGCAGGGGGGACAAUAUUUUGGGGCCUAUGAUUAUAUCUCUAUUAGUUUUAAAAUAAUUAUGGAAAAGGAUAGACUUUGGUCGAAGAGUCAAAGUUUUAAAUGAGGCCAAUUUUGACACUACUAUGCUUCUUAAAAGCACAGUAAGACCGCCUAUGUGUGGGAAUGCACGAGAUGGGUGAGAUACAAAAAAGUAUUUUACAUCAGUAUUUACUGUGAUAAAGGAUACAAAAGCUAAAGAACUUCGAGAAAUGAAUGUGUAUCUUGAAAAGCUCCAUGUUGUAGAGGAGGUGGUGCUGGAUGCCAUACAGAGCAUAAAGGUGGAUAAAUCCCCAGGACCUCUUCAGGUGUAUUCUCGAACUUUGCGGGAAGCUAAGCUUGCGAUUGGGCCCCUUGCUCAGAUAUUUGCACCAUUGACAGUCAUAGGUGAGCUGUUACACUGGAGGUUGGCUAAUCUGGUGCCAUUGUUUAAGAAAGGUGGUAACAUAAAACCAGGGAACAAUAAACUUUUAGUGAGCCUGACGUCAGUUGUGGGUAAGUUGUUGGAGGGAAUUCUGAGGGAUAGGAUUUACAUAUAUUUGGAAAGCGUGGACUGAAUGGGGAAUAGUUGACAUGGCUUUGUCCAUAGGAAAUUAUGCCUUACUAACUUGAUUGAGUUUUUUUGAAGAAGUUAGAAACAAGAUUGAUGGCAGACCGGUGGAUGUUUUCGAUAUUCCUCAUGGUCGACUGAUUAACAAGGUUAGAUCACAUGGAAUCCAGGGAGAGCUGGCCAUUUGGAAAGGCCUUUGACCUGCAGUAUGCUGCAAGGAUUGGUACUUAGUAACUAUAACUCCUACAUUCACAUCCAAAUCAUCUUUAUAAAUGACACACCACUGGUCACAGGCCUCCAGUCGACAAAGCAACCCUCCACCAGCACUCCGUCUUCUACCUUCAAGUCAGAUCUGUUUCCAAAUGACUGGUUCUCUCUGUAUUCCAUGUGAUCUGACCUUGCUAAUCAGUCUACUAUGAGGAACCUUGUCAAACGCCUUAGUGACAUCCAUAUAGAACACAUCCACCUCUUUGCGCUACUCAAUCCUCUUUGUUCCUGCAUCAAAAAAAAUCAAGUCAGUGAGACAUGAUUUCCCACACACACAGCCAUGUUGAUUAUCCCUAAUCAGUCCUUCCCUUUCCAAAUAUUUCAAGUACUAUCCCUCAGGAUUCCUAGAACGACUUUCCCACCACUAAUAUCAGGCUCACUGGCCUAUAGUUCCCUGGCUUUUCCUUACCACCUUUCUUAAAUAGUGGCACCACAUUAGCCAACUUCUGGUCCCUCACCUGUGACUAUCGAUGAUACAAAUAUCUCAGCAAGGGGCCCAGCAAUCACUUGCCUAGCUUCCCUCCGAGUUCUCGGAUACACCUGAUCAGGUCCCAGGAACUUAUCCACUUUUAUACGUUUUAAGCAUCACUACCUCUGUAAUAUGGAUAAUUUUCAAGAUGUUGCUAUUUAUUUCCCCACAGUCCAUAUCUUCCAUAUCCUUUUCUGUAGUAAAUACUGAUGCAUAAUACUUGUUUUAUUAUAUUCCCCAUUUCUUGCAAUUCCACACAUAGGAGGCAUUGCUGCUUUUUAAGGGGCCCUGUCUCUCCAUCGUUAUCCUUUUUGUUCUUAAUCUAUUUGUAGAAUCCCACUGGAUUUUCCUUAAUACUAUUUGCCUAAGUUACCUCAUGUUCCCUUUUUGCCCUACUAAUUUCCCUCUUAAGUAUACUAUUGUCAUUAUACUCUUGUAAGCAUUCACUCGAUCUCUGCUGUCUAUACCUGACAUGUCCUUCCUCGUUUUUCUUGACCAAAACCUUGAUUUCUCUCGUCAUCCAGAAUUCCCUAUACCUACCAGCAUUGUCCUUCACCCGAACAGGAGUAUACUGUCCCUGAACUCUCGUUAUCUCUUUUUUUUUUGAAGGCUUCCCACUUUCUAACUUUCUGUUUUACCUGCGAACAUCUGCCCCAAUCAACUUUUGAAAGCUCUUGUGUAAUACCAUUAAAAUUGGCCUUCCUCCAAUAUAGAGCUUUAACUUUCAGAUCCGGUCUACUCUUUUCCAUCACUAUUUUAAAACUAAUAGAAUUAUGGUCACUGGCCCCAAAGUCCUCCCCUGCUGAUACCCUAGUCACCUGUCCUGCUUUAUUUGCCAACAGCAGGUCAAGUUUUGCACCUUCUGUAGUCGGUACAUCACAUACUGAAUCAGAACAUUUUCCUCUACACUCUCAGCAAACUCCGCUCCAUCCAAGCCUUUUAGACCAUGGAAUUCCCAGUCUGUUUGGAAAGUUAAAAUCCCUUCCAUCACCACCCUGUUAUUCUUCCAGAUAACUUCUUUCAA